rnacentral:rRNA from 1 species
CCUACGGGCGGCAGCAGUGAGGAAUAUUGGUCAAUGGGCGAGAGCCUGAACCAGCCAAGUCGCGUGAAGGAUGAAGGUUCUAUGGUUUGUAAACUUCUUUUAUAUGGGAGUAAAGUGAGGAACGUGUUCCUUUUUGUAUGUACCCUAUGAAUAAGCAUCGGCUAACCCCGUGCCAGCAGCCGCGGGAAAACGGAGGCGACGAGCGUUUACCGGAUUUAUUGGGUUUAAAGGGUGCGUAGGUGGUUCAUUAAGUCAAGGGUGAAAGUUUUUGGCUCAACCAUAGAACUGCCGUUGAAACUGGUGAACUUGAGUAUGUUUGAGGUAGGCGGAAUGCGUGGUGUAGCGGUGAAAUGCAUAGAUAUCACGCAGAACUCCGAUUGCGAAGGCAGCUUACUAGACUAUAACUGACGCUGAGGCACGAAAGCGUGGGGAUCAAACAGGAUUAGAUACCCGGGUAGUC